UACGAAGGGGGCUAGCGUUGCUCGGAAUCACUGGGCGUAAAGCGCACGUAGGCGGAUUGCUAAGUCAGGGGUGAAAUCCUGGAGCUCAACUCCAGAACUGCCUUUGAUACUGGCGGUCUCGAGUCCGGGAGAGGUGAGUGGAACUGCGAGUGUAGAGGUGAAAUUCGUAGAUAUUCGCAAGAACACCAGUGGCGAAGGCGGCUCACUGGCCCGGAACUGACGCUGAGACGCGAAAGCGUGGGGAGCAAACAGG
rnacentral:rRNA from 1 species